GAGGGUAUAGCUCAGUGGUAGAGCACAUACUUAGCAUGCACAGGGUCCUGGGUUCAAUCUCCAGUACCUCCU
rnacentral:tRNA from 1 species